rnacentral:tRNA from 1 species
CAAGAAAUAGUUUAUUUAAAAUAUUAGCUUUGGGAGUUAAUGAAAAAGAAGUUUCUUUUUUCUUGA